rnacentral:rRNA from 1 species
UACGUAGGGGGCAAGCGUUAUCCGGAUUUACUGGGUGUAAAGGGAGCGUAGACGGUAGAGCAAGUCUGAAGUGAAAUGCCAGUGCUCAACACUGGAACUGCUUUGGAAACUGUUUGGCUGGAGUGCAGGAGAGGUAAGUGGAAUUCCUAGUGUAGCGGUGAAAUGCGUAGAUAUUAGGAGGAACACCAGUGGCGAAGGCGGCUUACUGGACUGUAACUGACGUUGAGGCUCGAAAGCGUGGGGAGCAAACAGG